ensembl:lncRNA
AAAGUCCAACAGCUUCAAUGUAACAAACGAACACCCUCACAAUGGUCAGUACAAACACAAUAAAUAGUCAUUUGGCAUUUUACAAAUAACUAACAGUUUCAUGCCCAUUUGUAAGCGGAACCCGUAGCAGACGGUCGCUGCAGUGACGAACCAUUUUAGUUCAAACCCCGAUGCAGCAGCAGACUUGUAGAGUUUCUUCUCUAACCGGCUGCCUCUCCAGACUACGCAGGUCUCCCAGGUCUGCAGCUGCUCCGUACAAACCUCAGCGUUUGCUGUGGCGCGGCGAACAGCCCGGCUGAAUUCGGCGCCCGUCGUCCUCCCCUCUCGCGCGUGCACAGCGGCGCAUGACGUCAACAUGAAACCUCCCUUCUUUGUUUUUCUCCUGUGCAUUUUCCUUCAGACCUAAACUCCUCCUCGACUUCAGUCGCACAGAACUUUGAACUGAAAGCGACAAACGCCAUUGGAAGCCUGUGCAGGAAGCCUGCACUCAGAGAAUCGAGUUGAAGCUUCCAACGUGUGGCUGUGUUGAAGCGAGGCAGUGGGGCUGCAGAAAUCCAUCCAUUCCAAUGGAGCUUUUUAGCUCGUUUUGUUUUUGAUUCCGAUGGGAAGUCUUGAGACGUGUGCGAGCUCUGCUUCCCCCUCCAUGAUCUCCCUCAGGCUGCUGAGGACUCAACCGACUGUCAUGUUGUUGAUUCCCAGAACGCCAUUAAUUGGGAUCGGGGUUAAGUAAAUGCCACAGCAGCUCCUUUCUCUCUCCGUCAGGGCGGUGCGGUGGGUCUAGUCAAUGUGGGGGUCACGCUCGCUCCGUGAGGCAUCUGUGUUACAUAAUGCGCUGUGAGGAAGCUCCUGUUCUCCUUCAAGUGGGAAAAAGAAGCCGUGCAGUGGGACUGCAGCACUGAAAUAUCCUCUCUAACCCACCCACUGAUGCGUACCCUCGUUCAUCCUCAGCCCCCCCCAACCCUCUUCCUCCCACAAUCUUUCCUCUUCGCCUUCCUCACCCCUUCAAAUAUUCAUGUUAUGGAAGCUGAGUCCCAGAAGCUUCUUGUCCAUCCUAUUCGCAGCUGCUCACAUCUUUAAAUAUGCAAACACGUCUUCGUCCUCCAGCUGGUUUGCUUUUACCUUCUGACCUCAACUCUGUUUUUAAGAUCGGCGGCCGCCUCCCGUGGGUCCCCACUCAGCCUCACUGAUGGCAGCUUGUAGGCAGCGUGGGCACCUUUUUUGUUAAUGGUUAUGAUUUAUUUAUCAUCAACAGCCCAUUAAAAACCCAUUUGGCUCCUGCUGCAGUUGUGACUCAUUUACGGUACCAGUAAUGAGAGCGGUCCGCGCUGAUUGACGGGCGCCGUUGGUGUUCACAUGGGACUCUCCAGGUGUUCCACUUGACCCCGUCCAUGAAACCAUUAUUACCGUCAACUGACCAAACGAGCACGGGACUCCCCCAGGAGAUGUUUGUGUUCUCUUUCCUCAGCGCAGCCACCUUGAAGAACUAAGAACAACUACGUGGGAGUUCAGCUUGAAGACCCCUCACACACACACACACACACACACUGUAGUCAGACAUGGAUGUGUACUUGUGUGGUUCGUUGGCGUUUGGGUGAGUCUUUGUUGGGAUUAAGCUUUCUGUCGGAGAGACAUCUGUAAGAACAUGAGAUGAGGAUUACGUUACUAGGAGAGAGAUCCGCCGGUGAUACUUACAGCUGAAGAGUCGGCCGGCCGACAUCACAUCACAUCACUUUACAUCACAUCACAUUACAUCACUUUACAUCACAUUACAUCACUUUGCAUCACAUUACAUCACUUUACAUCACUUUACAUCACAU